AUGCCCGUAGGAUGUGAUAAUGACAUACUGGAUGAUAACGAGGAAGCGAGCAUGUCUAGCGCUAAACCUAGCGAGAUUGAUCCAUUUGGCAGUGUCUAGUCAAACAUCCCAGACAACACUCACAUCCUGAAACUCGCGGAAAAGUGCAAACACUGCAAGGCAAGGAAGUUUGAGUCUGAGACUGACAAGUUCUGCUAUCGCAAUGGCCAGAUCGAGCUUAAGCAACUAGAACUAAUCCCAGAGCUGAUGAGGCUAUGGUCCAGCAUGGAUGCAAAUUCUAGACAUUUCCGGGAGAACAUACGGUUCUUCAACGGGCAUUUUGCCUUCACAACCCUUGGCAUCAGCCUUGAUGAAAACUACACAAACAUGAAGUCUGGGGGUGUACACAUUCCGGGCACACGGCACCAUCCACCACAAUGUGUAUUCAUUCGGCCCUAG
rnacentral:rRNA from 1 species